rnacentral:rRNA from 1 species
UACGUAGGGGGCUAGCGUUGUCCGGAAUCAUUGGGCGUAAAGAGCGUGUAGGCGGCCAGGUAGGUCCGUUGUGAAAACUCGAGGCUCAACCUCGAGACGCCGAUGGAAACCAUCUGGCUAGAGUCCGGAAGAGGAGAGUGGAAUUCCCGGUGUAGCGGUGAAAUGCGCAGAUAUCGGGAAGAACACCCGUGGCUAAGGCGGCUCUCUAGUACGGUACUGACGCUGAGACGCGAAAGCGUGGGGAGCGAACAGG